rnacentral:pre_miRNA from 1 species
UUGGAUGUGAAUUGAUGUAUGUUUGGAUACAUUACUAUAAGUGAUUCAUGUGGGUUGAUGUUGUUUGGAUAG